GAUGGCCUGGUACCUUCCUGCCGCUGCUGUCACCCUGGGAACUGGAUUCAUUCUUGGACAGAGGAGGCACCUGCCUGUCUAGGGCACUGAGAGGACUCUCAGCACAGGAAGGCACAGGAGUGAACACUUGACACCUUUUCAGAACAGCAAGAAGGAACUCUACUGUUAAGAAGCCGUUGAAAGCAGCCAUUGAUUGUCCGUGGUGUUCAGUCAUGGAAACCACACAAAGAGGCAAAAGCAGGGACCUGCAGACUCACCUACCACUCUUCAUGUGACGGCAUCGACAACUUGGCCCACGUAGGCAGUUUUCCCUGGCAGAGAGCCAGCCAAUCAUCGGUGCAGGAAGGCCCCCUUCUGGUGAAGACACAGAAGAGGGACUUUGAAAUGCUGUCUGUUUAGGCAACUGCUCUGACUGUGUUGAGGCUCAAAGUCAGGCCCAGGCGGAUUAUAUUCUUACUCUUGCCCACUGCUUUCAUUUACCACGAGGCAGUUGCGGUGGUUUGAAUGAGAUGCCCCCCAUAUUCUUCAGCAUGUAAAUACCCAGUACCCGUUGGCGGCCCUGUUUGGUUAGGUUAGGAAGAAUAAUGUCACUGGGGAUGAGCUUGGAGGUUUCACAAGUCAGGUGCCAUUCCCGGUUGGCUCUCCUUGUUUCCUGCUAUUGGUUCAAAUGAUUGCUCUCAGCUGUUUUGCUUCUCUGCCAUGACGUGAUGGACUCAUCCCUCUGGAAUCAUAGGCCCCAAAUACAUUCUUUGUCCAAUAAGUUGCCUUGAUCAUGCUUUUUAUCACAGGGGUAGAAAAGUGAAAAGUAACCAAUAGACAAAAAAAAAAAAAAAAAAAAAAAAAAACCACUAGUGGUAUGGGAGGCAAACUCACGGGUUUCUGGAAGUAGACAGGUAGCCAUUGAUGCUCUCCACAGAGCAGGGAGAGAGGGUAGCGGCUCCAAGACUGUCAGUGUUCUCCUUCUGAGACUACCCUCCUGAUACCGUAAAGGCUCUCUUUUGAGUUCUAUGACUGUCCACAUGACACAGCCGAUGGACUCUGACUAGAGAUAAAGCCUAUUUCAUCCUUCCCAAGAUUCUGGAAGAGAAAAAAGAGGAGAUCCCCAUUGCAGGCAAUGCUGGAGAUAUAAAGGGCAGGACCCGACUCAUUGUCAGCUACGUAGAAGUGACUUUCAGAGAAAUACAGUGACGCUCAGGAAGAAAUAUGAGAUGGAGACAGCAUGCGCUGGUUCUCUUCGGUAUCCUGGCCCCGAUAGUGCCUGAAGCUCCCUAAACCUAUGCUUUGGUCACGUCUCUCCAGUGCACAGACUGAGUUUCCGUCGCCUGCAACCACUGAAUUCCGAUGAACACAAGACCCUUCCUCAAAUGAGCAGUUCACCUCACUCUCGGUCACUUACUGAAAUACAAAGAACUCCGGAUGGGCUGCUCCUGUUUUAACGGGAGAUCUGCACGCCGGUGUCAUCCUGAAGUCCUAUUAGUGCUGGCAGGCAGAGAAGGCAGUGCACACCUGAGGUGAAGACCCGGCCAGGGCCUUUGGAGAAGUGGGCAAAAGUGUGGGAAGAGAGGGGAGGAAGCCGGGAGGGGAGUCAGCAGGAAGAAGAGAUUUCGGAGUGAGAAACGGUCUUGAGAAAGACUCUUGGAGGGGACAGUAAACACAUUUUACUGCUUUCAUAACAUGGUGUUCUGAGGCCAGUGUUUUUAGGUUCAUAAUCAAACAGCGACUGCUAGCUCUAAAAAGGGAGGAAUGGUAUUUAUUCCAGUGCUCCUGGAAUAUUAUUUGCAAGAACUCACUGGCUCUGUAAGAACUUGAUCAACCCUGUAUAUUUUUAAUUGAAAAAAAAUUUUUUAGCAUUGUAUAAACUCUAUACCCUGUUGCUAAGCUAUUAAGGAGACAGGCACCAGGGCAUUAGAAUCUUCUAGUGGUCCCUCAUUUAAAACAUGACUGCUACAAUUGGGGAGCAGUAAAACCUCAUUCUAACACACUUACAGUUGACAUUUUCAGGCUGUAUUGUUCAUGUUUUUAAGUCCUGGAAAAAGGCCCAUUAAAGCCAUGUCACCCACAUUAAUUCAACAUUUAGCCACUUACAAUACAAACCCCAGUCUUUUGGAAAAUGUCAUUAAAAAAGUUUUGCCAUAUAUGGACAUUAUUUAUGGCUUGAGCCCUAUUGUCUACUUAUAAUAUGCCCUUUAUCAGACCCAAAUGCCCACUUCAGAGAUUUUCGUUCUGAGCAACAACUGGCUUCUUACAUUAUCCAAUGAUGCAGGAAAGUUAAAUUACAGCCAGUUCAUAUCAUAGAAACAAAAUGUUUCCUGCAAUUACUGAUAAGGGACAGUUCAUUUUCUCUCUGUCAUCCUGGAAAAAAAAAAAAAAACCCUCCUAACAACAAUUCAUGCCUGGUUAAACAGGAUUUCCACAUCUCCUGCUGACAUCUUUCCAAAUAAUUCAGGGCUGUUAUUACUGUAUAGCCCUGGCAAGGCUCAAAAGCAAGCAGACUUGACGAGUCUGCUCAAAGCACAGCUUAAGUAGUUGUAAUUAAUAAUAAUUACAUGCCCACUACACUCCAGGUUUAUCAUAUUAUCCGUCAAUGCAAAUAAAAAAAAAUCCCCAUACAACACACUAGCAGCAAGAUUGGUGCAUUAAUAAAGCAACUGUACAGACAUCAUCUUCAUAAAGUUUAAAGUAUUUGUGCUGGUUCCUGUUUUUAUCGAUGUUCAGUAUUCUCUGUCUGUUUGCAAAAAUGUGGCUUGGGUCCCAUACAGCAUGUGGCCACAUUUUUAUUUUUUAUUUAUUUAUUUUUUUUACUUCCAAAAGCCUCCUCAUUCCUGCCGUGACUCGGAUUCGAACCGAGGUUGCUGCGGCCACAACGCAGAGUACUAACCACUAUACGAUCACGGCGAGCUACCGACGG